rnacentral:rRNA from 1 species
GUUGCGACCCCAGGUCAGGCGGGGCUACCCGCUGAGUUUAAGCAUAUCAAUAAGCGGAGGAAAAG